rnacentral:rRNA from 2 species
AGGGCGCACGGUGGAUGCCUUGGCACUAGGAGCCGAUGAAGGACGGGACUAACACCGAUAUGCUUCGGGGAGCUGUAAGUAAGCUUUGAUCCGGAGAUUUCCGAAUGGGGGAACCCAGCAUCUUUUAUAGGAUGUUACUUUUCAGUGAAUACAUAGCUGAUUAGAGGUAGACGCAGAGAACUGAAACAUCUAAGUACCUGCAGGAAGAGAAAGAAAAAUCGAUUCCCUGAGUAGCGGCGAGCGAAACGGGAAAAGCCCAAACCAAGAGGCUUGCCUCUUGGGGUUGUAGGACUCCGAUAUGGUAGUCCAGUGAGAUAGUCGAAGGACCUGGAAAGGUCUGCUAGAAAGGGUAAAAGCCCCGUAGACAAAAUUUGACUGGCACCUAGGAGGAUCCUGAGUACGGCGGAACACGAGGAAUUCCGUCGGAAUCCGGGAGGACCAUCUCCCAAGGCUAAAUACUCCCUAGUGACCGAUAGUGAACCAGUACCGUGAGGGAAAGGUGAAAAGCACCCCGGAAGGGGAGUGAAAUAGAUCCUGAAACCGUGUGCCUACAACAAGUUAGAGCCCGUUAAUGGGUGAUAGCGUGCCUUUUGUAGAAUGAACCGGCGAGUUACGAUUACUUGCGAGGUUAAGUUGAAAAGACGGAGCCGCAGCGAAAGCGAGUCUGAAUAGGGCGAAUGAGUAAGUGGUCGUAGACCCGAAACCAUGUGAUCUACCCAUGUCCAGGUUGAAGGUGCGGUAAAACGCACUGGAGGACCGAACCCACGUACGUUGAAAAGUGCGGGGAUGAGGUGUGGGUAGCGGAGAAAUUCCAAACGAACUUGGAGAUAGCUGGUUCUCUCCGAAAUAGCUUUAGGGCUAGCCUCAGAGUAAGAAUGAUGGAGGUAGAGCACUGUUUGGACUAGGGGCCCAUCUCGGGUUACCGAAUUCAGAUAAACUCCGAAUGCCAUCCAUUCAUCUCUGGGAGUCAGACUGUGAGUGAUAAGAUCCAUAGUCGAAAGGGAAACAGCCCAGACCACCAGCUAAGGUCCCCAAAUAACUAUUAAGUGGAAAAGGAUGUGGGGUUGCACAGACAACUAGGAUGUUGGCUUAGAAGCAGCCACCAUUUAAAGAGUGCGUAAUAGCUCACUAGUCGAGUGACCCUGCGCCGAAAAUGUACCGGGGCUAAAUAGUUUACCGAAGCUGUGGAACACACCAAUAGGUGUGUUGGUAGGAGAGCGUUCUAAGGGCGUUGAAGGUAGAUCGUGAGGACUGCUGGAGCGCUUAGAAGUGAGAAUGCCGGUAUGAGUAGCGAAAGACAGGUGAGAAUCCUGUCCACCGAAUGACUAAGGUUUCCUGGGGAAGGCUCGUCCGCCCAGGGUUAGUCGGGACCUAAGCCGAGGCCGAUAGGCGUAGGCGAUGGAUAACAGGUUGAUAUUCCUGUACCCGUUGUUUUUGUUUGAGCAAUGGAGGGACGCAGGAGGCUAAGGAAUCAGACGAUUGGAAAUGUCUGUCCAAGCAAUAAGUCUUGAUGUGAGUCAAAUGCUUACGUCUUUAAGGACAAGUUGUGAUGGGGAGGGAAAUAAUAGUACCGAAGUUCCUGAUGUCACACUGCCGAGAAAAGCUUCUAGUGAGAAAACAAUGGCCCGUACCGCAAACCGACACAGGUAGUCGAGGAGAGAAUCCUAAGGUGAGCGAGAGAACUCUCGUUAAGGAACUCGGCAAAAUGACCCCGUAACUUCGGGAGAAGGGGUGCUGAUCUAACGAUCAGCCGCAGUGAAUAGGCCCAAGCGACUGUUUAUCAAAAACACAGGUCUCUGCAAAAUCGAAAGAUGACGUAUAGGGGCUGACGCCUGCCCGGUGCUGGAAGGUUAAGAGGAGUGCUUAGCGUAAGCGAAGGUACGAAUUGAAGCCCCAGUAAACGGCGGCCGUAACUAUAACGGUCCUAAGGUAGCGAAAUUCCUUGUCGGGUAAGUUCCGACCCGCACGAAAGGCGUAACGAUUUGGGCACUGUCUCAACGAGAGACUCGGUGAAAUUUUAGUACCUGUGAAGAUGCAGGUUACCCGCGACAGGACGGAAAGACCCCAUGGAGCUUUACUGCAGUUUGAUAUUGAGUGUUUGUACCACAUGUACAGGAUAGGUAGGAGCCGUAGAAGUCGGGACGCUAGUUUCGACAGAGGCGCUGGUGGGAUACUACCCUUGUGUUAUGACCACUCUAACCCGCACCACUGAUCGUGGUGGGAGACAGUGUCAGAUGGGCAGUUUGACUGGGGCGGUCGCCUCCUAAAGAGUAACGGAGGCGCCCAAAGGUUCCCUCAGAAUGGUUGGAAAUCAUUCGCAGAGUGUAAAGGCACAAGGGAGCUUGACUGCGAGACCUACAAGUCGAGCAGGGACGAAAGUCGGGCUUAGUGAUCCGGUGGUUCCGCAUGGAAGGGCCAUCGCUCAACGGAUAAAAGCUACCCUGGGGAUAACAGGCUUAUCUCCCCCAAGAGUCCACAUCGACGGGGAGGUUUGGCACCUCGAUGUCGGCUCGUCGCAUCCUGGGGCUGUAGUCGGUCCCAAGGGUUGGGCUGUUCGCCCAUUAAAGCGGCACGCGAGCUGGGUUCAGAACGUCGUGAGACAGUUCGGUCCCUAUCCGUCGCGGGCGUUGGAAAUUUGAGAGGAUCUGUCCUUAGUACGAGAGGACCGGGAUGGACUUACCGCUGGUGUACCAGUUGUCUCGCCAGAGGCAUCGCUGGGUAGCUAUGUAGGGAAGGGAUAAACGCUGAAAGCAUCUAAGUGUGAAGCCCACCUCAAGAUGAGAUUUCCCAUUUCU